AUGUUCACGACGCCAACCGCCCCACACUCCCAGCAAGAAGGUCCUCCGAGAGGACAAGGUCCCCCCAGAGAGUCAUCCGCACCCGGGGCAGCAACCGAGAUGAGGGAGAGGCAGGGCAGCCCGGGGCAGCCACAGCCUGCGCUUUCUUCUGUGGAGCCCUUCUCUGUUCACUCACCACCUUCAAAAGCUAAGAGACCACAGGACAGAGGACCGGACGCGGACAGCAGGGUGUCCACAGUCUCUCCCUCGGGACAGCUCAGCCCUCCUCCCGCCGUCGUUCCCAACACCCAGCAGGGGCCGGGCACGGCACGAGCUCACCUGGAGGACCGAACUGGCCCAGGCCCUCCGUGCGCCCCGCCCCUGCCGUCUUCCCCACGGCCCCAGGGCCCACGUGCGCCUGGACUGGGAGCCCCACUCUGCGAGGGCAGCGAGAACGGAAUUCCUUUCCCAACAGAAUCAACUAAAUGGCAUACACAGUCCCAACACAGAGCGCGUGUGCGUGUGUGUGUGUGUGCGUGCGUGUGCGUGUGUGUGUGUGUACACAUGGGCACACAGCCAGGAAGGGGAGGGCAGGGACAUGAGCUCUGGUCCAUCCCCAGGCCCUGCCGGGGCUGCAGCCCACAGACGCACACCUGGCCCCCGGCUCCCUCGGCCUGGACACACGCAUAGGCAGCUGCGCCUCGGGUGCGCUGCUCGGGCUCCCGCACGGCCACAGCCCCUCUCGGCAGGAGAGCCUGCGCCCAAGGGAGACGCAGAGUUGGGCGCGCCGGGGAGACAGCACCCUGAGCUGGGAGCCAGCACCUCCCAGUUCCUGUCUCUGCUCCUCCCUGUCUCUUUAAGAAUGAGUCCUAUUCAUCCUGACACUUGGGAUCAGAUCCUCUUACAACACUGGGCUGGCCAGAAGGACUGUGCGUUUCUGUGAUGACCAGGUAAAACCUGUUAUAGCUCGGCUGGGAAGUUUCGAUUCAUCUCCGCAUCCAUCAGACACUGCACCUUCAGAUUUCCCUUUAUUUGGUUGUUAAAAAUUCUGCAAAUGGAAAACAUUCAAUUCCCUGGCAGACUGUGAAAAGGCACGCGCAACAGUUCUUUGCUCAAAAAGAUACAGAAGGUUUAGAAAGAUGAAAUUGGGAAGUCAUCUUGCUCCACUACCUUGAAAACGGUUCAAUAAAGUUCUGGAUGAAAAUUAAAACCUGCGUUUUCUUUUUCGUAUUUAAAAACUGAAGGAACUUUUUGGCCAACAUAAUAGCAAGGAUUCACCUCAGUCAUAAGCAGCCAGACGGCUCUGCAAAGAGCAGGCCCGCGAGUGACUACAGAGACCCCGUGCCCAGCUCAGCCCAGCCAGGGACGGUCUUGCUGCCACCUCCUGGCCGACGCA
rnacentral:lncRNA from 1 species